GGGCGCAAGCCUGACGACGCAACGCCGCGUGGAGGAUGAAGACCUUCGGGUCGUAAACUCCUUUCGACCGAGAUGAAGCGGAGCCGGCUUAAUACGUCGGCUCCUUGACAGUAUCGAGGGAAGCAGCCCCGGCUAACUCCGUGCCAGCAGCCGCGGUAAUACGGGGGGGGCAAGCGUUGUUCGGAAUUACUGGGCGUAAAGGGUUUGUAGGUGGCCGACUAAGUCAGACGUGAAAUCCCUCAGCUUAACUGGGGAACUGCGUCUGAGACUGGUCGGCUUGAGGGCCGGAGAGGAACGCGGAAUUCCAGGUGUAGCGGUGAAAUGCGUAGAUAUCUGGAGGAACACCGGUGGCGAAGGCGGCGUUCUGGACGGCAUCUGACACUGAGAAACGAAAGCCAGGGGAGCAAACGGGAUUAGAUACCCCGGUAGUCCUGGCCCUAAACGAUGAAUGCUUGGUGUGGCGGGUAUCGAUCCCUGCCGUGCCGAAGUUAACGCAUUAAGCAUUCCGCCUGGGGAGUAC
rnacentral:rRNA from 1 species